ACUUGUGGUGCACAUGGGGCAUGUACGGGCAACACUCAAUCCUGCCCAGGAAGCUUCCUUGAGCCUUGAGGGCUGCCUCACAAUGGAUCCUAGGCUUCUUUUUUCCCUUGCUGCUUGCCUAAAUGUAAAUUAAAUGCUCUCAAGGGAUGAGAGACACUGGAAGCUGGGACGCUCUUGGAACUCUGUUGCCAUCAUCAAGGUCAGCAGUCCAACUACCAGGGCCAGAGCCCCAUCAAAGAAUCUUCAGUGCCAGCCAGAAAGAAUGAUGAACUCCUCGUGUAAAGGGAGUUUGGGGCAACCAGUCAAACCAUGGCCUCAUGGGAAGCAGCUGACUAGGCAAUGAGAGAGGAAUACAAAAGACAAGGCACUGCGAAGCCAAGUCUGGUUGGGGAGAAGAAACCAAUAUGCCUGAAACAGGGAACCAGAAAGGACUCAGACAAAACUGCUGACAAGUAUGGGGUUUCUUGGGGUAGGUGGUGAAAAUAUUCCAAAAUAAGAUUAUAGCGAUGUUUUAAUAAUCCCCUGGAUAUAAUAAAAAAACAUCGAAUUGUACAC
rnacentral:lncRNA from 1 species